ACUACUCAUAAAUAAUGUGACCCUACACAAAAAGGUUUCCGUGAUAUCUGGAUUAUCAAGGCGAUGAUGAAAAUGCAAACUAGACAAAAACAAAGAACACGCUGGGUGCCAAGUUGAAUGUUUACACUUUCAAAGAAAUUACAACAAUGUUUACUUCCGUAUGACAUCACUACCGGUGACCGACUUUUACAAAAUGGCGUGUUCACUGACAAUAGUACGCGGGAUUUCCAGAGGAGGAUUUUCGUUGAUUGAGGGAUCGUAUACACAUAAAUGGGUCACGUUUGGGGCGUUAUUACAGACUACAUUGCCCGUGUUGCCUUUCUCAUUGGCUUCUGAUAACAGACAACCCUGGUCGCAGAUGUUGCCAGUCUUGCUGACUCCAGAUAAAACCACUCCUGGCGAUACGACUGCUAUUUGAAUCCUAGACAAUCAUGAUCUCAGAUAUAGGCUCACUGCUAAGUCACAGAUAAUAUUAUCUUGUCGAUAGGCUUACUGCCAAGUCACAUACAAUCAUAUCUUGUCGAUAGGCUUACAACCAAGUCACAUACAAUCAGAUCUUGUCGACAGGCUUACUGCCAAGUCACAUACUAUCAUAUGUUGUAGGUAGGCUUACUGCCAAGUCACAUACAAUCAGAUCUUGUCGACAGGCUUACUGCCAAGUCACAUACAAUCAGAUCUUGUCGACAGGCUUACUGCCAAGUCACAUACAAUCAUAUGUUGUAGGUAGGCUUACUGCCAAGUCACAUACUAUCAUAUGUUGUAGGUAGGCUUACUGCCAAGUCACAUACUAUCAUAUGUUGUAGGUAGGCUUACUGCCAAGUCACAUACAAUCAGAUCUUGUCGACAGGCUUACUGCCAAGUCACAUACAAUCAGAUCUUGUCGACAGGCUUACUGCCAAGUCACAUACAAUCAGAUCUUGUCGACAGGCUUACUGCCAAGUCACAUACUAUCAUAUGUUGUAGGUAGGCUUACUGCCAAGUCACAUACAAUCAUAUGUUGUAGGUAGGCUUACUGCCAAGUCACAUACAAUCAGAUCUUGUCGACAGGCUUACUGCCAAGUCACAUACAAUCAGAUCUUGUUGACAGGCUUACUGCCAAGUCACAUACAAUCAGAUCUUGUUGACAGGCUUACUGCCAAGUCACAUACUAUCAUAUGUUGUAGGUAGGCUUACUGCCAAGUCACAUACUAUCAUAUGUUGUAGGUAGGCUUACUGCCAAGUCACAUACUAUCAUAUGUUGUAGGUAGGCUUACUGCCAAGUCACAUACUAUCAUAUGUUGUAGGUAGGCUUACUGCCAAGUCACAUACUAUCAUAUGUUGUAGGUAGGCUUACUGCCAAGUCACAUACAAUCAGAUCUUGUCGACAGGCUUACUGCCAAGUCACAUACAAUCAGAUCUUGUCGACAGGCUUACUACCAAGUCACAUACUAUCAUAUGUUGUAGGUAGGCUAACUGCCAAGUCACAUACUAUCAUAUGUUGUAGGUAGGCUUACU
rnacentral:misc_RNA from 1 species